CUCAUCAAAAGCUCUCCCUCCCUGCUCUGUCUCCUGGUUUGUCAUGUCCUGUCCUGUGUCACGGGUGUCUGCACAUAUUUGUACCGGACCUGCUCUGCCCUGCUGCAUAGCCUGUAAUAGCACAAGUCCUGGGGACUUGAAAUUAGUAAUGCAGGGUGUAGCUGGGCUCUAGAUUGUGUUAGGAGAUUGACAUAACAUGUUUGGUACUGUUGUCCUGCAGCGGUUUGACAUUAGUCCUAACUUCCUUUCAGAUGCAGACAUUUCAAGUCUGUGGCGGAGGGCCCCAGUCCUUGGUGAGGAACUUCCCAUGAGCAGGAGGUCCAGACGGAUAGCAGCAGUCAAAGCCCAGUGUGCCAGGGAAUCGACUUGGAGUGCACAUACCUCUGUCAGCAACUGGCUGAUGGACCAGGUUUCCUGCACUUGUGAUCUCGGUGGAAGUAUUCCAGGACCCUGUGAUGAAACCUUCCAAUUUUGUAUUUCAUGGUCCCAUCCUGGUAGCCCAGAGCAGUGGC